rnacentral:rRNA from 1 species
UACGGAGGGUGCAAACGUUGCUCGGAAUCAUUGGGCGUAAAGCGCACGUAGGCGGCACAGCAAGUCGGGUGUGAAAGCCCUCGGCUUAACCGAGGAAGUGCAUUCGAAACUACUGAGCUUGAAUACUGGAGAGGAUCGCGGAAUUCCCGGUGUAGAGGUGAAAUUCGUAGAUAUUCGGAAGAACACCAGUGGCGAAGGCGGCUCACUGGACGACUGUUGACGCUGAGGUGCGAAAGCGUGGGGAGCAAACAGG